CAUAAAUAGCAGAGGUGUCAAAGCAGACAGGGAACUGAAGCAAACAGGAAAGGGCAGAAGGUUCCGGAGAACCCACAAACACAAGACCAGCUAAGAGCCUAACGUGGGAAGCGUUUGCAGCUGGGGAAUCACUUUCCAUCAAAAGCGAUGUCGGACCCCGUGGAGAGGCACAUCCUUCCAUUCGGUGGCGCAAGCUGGCUCUUGUCAAGCUUCACCGCAUAACUCUUUUGAAGACCGUCAUCCAUGAAUGCAGCGUAUUGCGUCCUAAGCUUGACAUCUCUCAUGAACCUUUUCCGUAAAUUCAGUCCACGUUGUUCAGCGACAGAUCUAUUGUUCAGCAGACGCAAUGAUUUGUUUUUUACCAGAAGGCAAAUACUGCAAUGACCAUUGGAAAGUCUAGAUGAGUAUGACACCAUGGCCAUGAAGAUGUGGUCAUCCUUCGACAUUUCAAAUUGUUUGACAUAUUCUCCAUCAGGGAAAUCUUGCUUAAACUGCAGCUGCCAGAGGUCUUCUAGCUGUGCUUCAGAAAUUUGAGUCCCUGCUGCUUCAGUUUGCUUCCUUAUUGCUGUGCUACAUCCACCUCGGAGAUGACCGUUCAAAGCCCAGCCCAAAAAUAUAUUGACGGCAUAUGGCCCGUUACCCAUGCU